rnacentral:rRNA from 1 species
AGAAUCAACGCUGGCGGCGUGCCUAACACAUGCAAGUCGCACGAGAAAGGGUAGCAAUACCUGAGUAAAGUGGCGCACGGGUGAGUAACACGUGAAUUAUCUACCUCCGAGUGGGGAAUAACUGAGAGAAAUCUUAGCUAAUACCGCAUAACACUUACGAGUCAAAGCAGCAAUGCGCUUGGAGAGGAGUUCGCGGCCGAUUAGUUAGUUGGCGGGGUAAUGGCCCACCAAGACGAUGAUCGGUAUCCGGCCUGAGAGGGCGCACGGACACACUGGAACUGAAACACGGUCCAGACUCCUACGGGAGGCAGCAGUGGGGAAUUUUGCGCAAUGGGGGAAACCCUGACGCAGCAACGCCGCGUGGAGGAUGAAAUAUCUUGGUAUGUAAACUCCUUUCGAUGGGGAAGAUUAUGACGGUACCCAUAGAAGAAGCCCCGGCUAACUUCGCGCCAGCAGCCGC